rfam:Oryza rufipogon genomic scaffold, chr01
AAAAAGAUAAACCCUGGGUUUCCGUGUCCAACGUUUGACUGUCCGUCUUAUAUGAAAUUUUUUAUAAUUAGUAUUUUUAUUAUUGUUAGAUGAUAAAACAUGAUUAAUAAUUUAUGCGUGACUUAUCUUUUUAAUUUUUUUUAUAUUUUUUUCAAAUAAGACGGACGGUCAAACAUUGGACGUAGAAACCCAGGGUUUAUCUUUUU